UACGGGGGGGGCAAGCGUUGUUCGGAUUUACUGGGCGUAAAGAGCGUGUAGGCGGCCAAGCAGGUCCGUUGUGAAAACUGGAGGCUUAACCUCCAGACGUCGACGGAAACCGCGUGGCUAGAGUCCGGAAGAGGAGAGUGGAAUUCCGUGGUGUAGCGGUGAAAUGCGCAGAUAUCAGGAAGAACACCAAUGGCGAAGGCAGCUCUCUGGGACGGUACUGACGCUGAGACGCGAAAGCGUGGGGAGCGAACAGG
rnacentral:rRNA from 1 species